ACUACGGUGCUGAAGUAACAAAUGCCCUGCUUCCAGGAAAAGCCUCUAAGCAUCAGGUAACAUCAAAUCGUACCCCAAACCGACACAGGUGGUCAGGUAGAGAAUACCAAGGCGCUUGAGAGAACUCGGGUGAAGGAACUAGGCAAAAUGGUGCCGUAACUUCGGGAGAAGGCACGCUGGUGUGUAGGUGAAGUCCCUGCGGAUGGAGCUGAGACCAGUCGAAGAUACCAGCUGGCUGCAACUGUUUAUUAAAAACACAGCACUGUGCAAACACGAAAGUGGACGUAUACGGUGUGACGCCUGCCCGGUGCCGGAAGGUUAAUUGAUGGGGUUAUCCGUAAGGAGAAGCUCUUGAUCGAAGCCCCGGUAAACGGCGGCCGUAACUAUAACGGUCCUAAGGUAGCGAAAUUCCUUGUCGGGUAAGUUCCGACCUGCACGAAUGGCGUAAUGAUGGCCAGGCUGUCUCCACCCGAGACUCAGUGAAAUUGAACUCGCUGUGAAGAUGCAGUGUACCCGCGGCAAGACGGAAAGACCCCGUGAACCUUUACUAUAGCUUGACACUGAACAUUGAGCCUUGAUGUGUAGGAUAGGUGGGAGGCUUUGAAGCGUGGACGCCAGUCUGCGUGGAGCCAACCUUGAAAUACCACCCUUUAAUGUUUGAUGUUCUAACGUUGGCCCCUUACCGGGGUUGCGGACAGUGUCUGGUGGGUAGUUUGACUGGGGCGGUCUCCUCCCAAAGCGUAACGGAGGAGCACGAAGGUUAGCUAAUCCUGGUCGGACAUCAGGAGGUUAGUGCAAUGGCAUAAGCUAGCUUGACUGCGAGCGUGACGGCGCGAGCAGGUGCGAAAGCAGGUCAUAGUGAUCCGGUGGUUCUGAAUGGAAGGGCCAUCGCUCAACGGAUAAAAGGUACUCCGGGGAUAACAGGCUGAUACCGCCCAAGAGUUCAUAUCGACGGCGGUGUUUGGCACCUCGAUGUCGGCUCAUCACAUCCUGGGGCUGAAGUAGGUCCCAAGGGUAUGGCUGUUCGCCAUUUAAAGUGGUACGCGAGCUGGGUUUAGAACGUCGUGAGACAGUUCGGUCCCUAUCUGCCGUGGGCGCUGGAGAAUUGAGGGGGGCUGCUCCUAGUACGAGAGGACCGGAGUGGACGCAUCACUGGUGUUCGGGUUGUCAUGCCAAUGGCACUGCCCGGUAGCUAAAUGCGGAAGAGAUAAGUGCUGAAAGCAUCUAAGCACGAAACUUGCCCCGAGAUGAGUUCUCCCUGAGACUUUAAGUCUCCUGAAGGAACGUU
rnacentral:rRNA from 1 species